GCUCACCACCGCUCCGCCUGCGCCUCCCUGGGCCUGAGCUUUAAGCCACCGCUUGCUUCUCAGCCCUCCCAGGCUUCCUGCGUGAACAGGUGAUUCGUGGGAAGUGUGGGGGCUGUGAGCUUGGCCUGACCUGGUGCUAUAGGCUCUGUGCAGUGUGGACCAGCUCCAGCCCAGCAGCGCUGCUGUAGUACCACCAGCCACCUCCAGGCAGCACAGCCAUUGGUGCAUAUUUGAGCCGUGUGGUCGAGAAAGCAGAUGGAAAGAUACUUCAUCAAAUGAUUAACUAGCAAAUCCUCAUCUGAUUGGAAGAGUAAAAUUGUUCAGCAUACCAGACAAAGUGAUGGCCACAACUGUAGACCAUUCAUCUUAAAGACAUUAGUUUGCAAAAACGUAUUUCCAGCAGAAAGACAUCAAUGUGGUAGAAACAACACAAGAGGCUAAUACUGUAUUUAGAAGACAAAUAGCAAUGAAAGAGUCAGAAAGCGUGGAGGACUAUUGCAUAUACUACAACCUUGUCAUCUGUGAAAAGGAAAGUGAGGAUUGCACAAUGUUGUUACUUAUCAAAGGUCCAGUGUGAUUCUUGCAAGAGGUGGGCACAUAUGCCCUGCAUUACAGAAGGAACCAAUCAAGAAAACCUGACUGACGAGAAGACAGAAUACAAGUGCAAAAAGUGUGCAAAGUUCACUUCUUUACCAAAAAAUAACAUUGUUUAAAUGCUUGAUGUUCAAAACAUCAUGGAACCAAAAGAAAACUCUAUUUAUAUACCAGAUUAUAAUAAAGGUUUUUUAAUUUGAAAAAAUUAUUCUCUGUAUUUGUGUCCCAACUAGCUGCAAAAGAAGAGGGUUGCUGUUUGUGCCGCUACACUGGGCCACCCCACCAGACAACUGAGGCGAGCAGCUCCCACCGUAAAGCAACGCCAUCUCCGACCACGCCGUUGUAAAAGGCCGUGGCCUCUCGCCAUGCUACCGCAAAGCAACGCCGGGCUGAAGGCACAUGUGUAGCAGCUACUGCCACUCCAGCUCCUGACACAGGCAAACCAGCUGUUCUAGUUAUGGCUGAUCGCUCUGCUGGAGAAGCAUGGUGCGGCCCGCCUAGAACAUCCCCGCUAGACCACAGAGCCCAGCAAGGCAGCAACAUCCCAUCUAGAACCCGCAGUGCAGGCCUUCUAGCACACACGCAACUGGGCGCCACAGCAUCUAAAUGAGAACCCACCAUGCAGGCCUUCUAGAACAUCCCCGCUAGCGUGCCGGCAGCUGAGGGCCACAGCAUCUCAUCGAGAACUCAUGGUACAAGCCUUCCAGAACAUCCCCGCUAGCACACAAGCUGGUGGGGCGGAAAACAUCUAAACUAGAACCUACAGUGCAGGCUUUCUAGAACAUCAUAGCUAGAACACAAAGCAGCUGGGCUACAGCAUUUAAUCUAGAACUGGUAGGGUGGAUUUUCUAGAACAAAGACCCAGCUGGGCUAGAAAAUGUAAUAUAGAAUCCCUAGCAGCACCCUUCUAGAAUUGGGGGUCACAACCCUCAGGGGUUGCAAGGUUAUUACAGGGGGGUUGUGAGCUUUCUGCCCCUAUGCAAGGUGGAGCUGACAGCCUGAGCCCUUCCAGACUAGCUCCACCUCCAACCCCGCUCCACCUCCAAUGAAAGGUUGCCAAGGUAGAAGUUUGUCCAGGCACUGUUUUCCCCAAGGCCCACUCUAGGACUGAAACAACAUUAGAGGGCUUGAUUAUUCACUAGCUGAAGAGCUGCAUUAAAUUGCAGACUAAUCAGAAUACUGAGAUCGGCCAAAAAAACCUUAAUUUAUAAUUUAACAGUCAGGCAGGGACAGGGCAGAGGGCUAUAGUCAACCCAAAGUUUACCUUAGCCACCCCUCUCAGCGCAAAGGCAGGGCUGGCUCUGACUUUUUUGCCGCCCCAAGCAAUAAAAAAUAAAAAUAUCAAGG